rnacentral:lncRNA from 1 species
AGUUUGUUUCUUAGCCCUCCUCCAUGGCUGUGUGUGGGGAAAGGUGCAUUUCCUGGACCUAAAGAAGCUGGCAGUCAGAACCUUGCCAUGGGCUGCGCAGAGUAACUCCAUGGGGUUGACUGGAGAAGGCACUGAGUUUUCUUCAAUUAGUUAAGAUUUUGUUUUCCAAAUCAGUUAGAUUGGUCCAUGAGCAACUGGACUAUUACAAUCCUGUAUAAAAACAGAGAUUUUGAAUUUAAAGCAGAAUGACUCAUGACAAGAAAUUUAUAAUUUGAAAUUUGCAAAAGAUAAAGCUCAGAGCUCUGAAGGACUUUCAUAGAGCAUGAGACUGGGAACUCAGCGAGAGACACAGAUCUCUGAGGAGGCAUAUGGGCUCUUGCUGGGGUCAAAGCUGUGUGGUGUCUGUAAAAAAGGGUUGCUGUGUAAUGCUUUAGAAUUGGAAUUGCAGAUUCUUCUUGUGAGGGGAAUAUUGCUGUUAUGGGUAAAAGUUGUGUCUUAUGGUUGCCCUUGUGACCUUGUUAGAUCCUUUGGAUAAUUAAAACUUCCAGAAGUUGGGAUUGUAGAUGCUGGGAAUGUAGAAAAACAAUAGUCAAAUCAGUCAAAAAGGUGCUAACCAUUGGGAUAAUACACUGAAAAGCAUCCAGUGGGAAAUUUAUGAAUUGUAAAAAACCCAAUACUGCAUGAAAUCAUAACUUCCUUUUAUGACCCUCAAUCGUGGCCAUUAAAGGGCUAACUUCUGUUACAGAAAAGAGGUAGCUAGUUAGUUCAUAUCUCUGGGUUUAGAUAAAUCACAGUAUCUCUCUUAGUUUUGGUUUGGCAGGAUGUCUUGGACCUUUUCCUUUGGUUUCCUUUGGUUGUUAGAUAAAGACAUGUGAGGAUGGACUCUGUGACUGCAUGGUUUUCUUCCGGGUGAGCUCACUGGCUUGCCACCGCCCAGAUUUAUCAGCAGCUGGAGUUUCACCUAAUAGUAUGGUUUGCUCCAACCAUUUGCUGGAGCAGAAAAAGAUGGCAUCAACUUAUAUUUUAAAAUAAACUGACUUUGAAAGGUUUUAUGAAAUCACGGUCCAUUUUGAUUAGUUUUUGCCAACAGCUGCCUGCAUUUAGGCUUUGUUCUUUGUUGGACAUAACUGUUUAGGAAAGAUUGCUGCUUUAUGGAAGCGAUUCCAAAGACUCAUUGUUCCAGACAUCGGACAUCCUUAUGUUAUUCAGGUCUGAUGAUAUUUGAUCUAACGCAGAUUAAUUACUAAGCUCUCAGUGAAUAAUUAACCAUUUGACCUGUUCCCAAGUUAUAUACUCACUGAGUUAGAAAUGAUUUCCCCAACUACUAAAGAUAAGGAAGGUUAUUCCUGGUUUCACAGUGUCCCCAUUGUUACUGACUUGUAUGUGUGAGAGACAUCAGCUGAUACCUACGCACUGGUCCAGCUACUCAGUCAAACCACUUCCUGGGGUUUUCUCGGGUAAUGGCAGUGAUUCAGAAGACACCACAGAACUUUCUGAGGACUGUUCCCUGUGUGUUACUCUGGGCUGAAUGACUGGGAACUGUCAAGUUCAAAAGGAACAUUUUUUGUUGUAGUGCUAUUAAAUUUGUGGUUUGCUUUUGCUCAAAGUUGCAUUUCAGCUGAAUUUAGGGUGGCUUGUCUGUGUGCCAUUUAUUUUAUAGUACCUAAUUUCCAUCAAUUAACCAUUUCAUGCCUUAGUUGAGUCCCUUAUAAAGUCCUGUAUUAAGCCUGGAGGGGAUAGGCAAACUAAGUCAUUAUAACUGCCUGCAGUGGCUAGUAGUAAUUAGGGAGAGGAGAGAUAAAAAUGGAUGGGGGCCAAAUAGGGUAUUAAUGCAAACAUUGUACUUUUCUACUUAUGUAUUUUUGUGAUUUUUUUUUUUUACUUCUG